AGGAUGAACGCUGGCGGCGUGCUUAACACAUGCAAGUCGAACGAAGACAUCUGAGUGCUUGCACUUGGAUGGACUGAGUGGCGGACGGGUGAGUAACGCGUGGGUAACCUGCCUUAUACGAGGGGGAUAACAGUUGGAAACGACUGCUAAUACCGCAUAAGCGCACGGUAUCGCAUGAUACAGUGUGAAAAACUCCGGUGGUAUAAGAUGGACCCGCGUCUGAUUAGCUUGUUGGUGAGGUAACGGCCCACCAAGGCGACGAUCAGUAGCCGGCCUGAGAGGGUGAACGGCCACAUUGGGACUGAGACACGGCCCAAACUCCUACGGGAGGCAGCAGUGGGGAAUAUUGCACAAUGGGGGAAACCCUGAUGCAGCGACGCCGCGUGAGUGAUGAAGUAUUUCGGUAUGUAAAACUCUAUCAGCAGGGAAGAUAAUGACGGUACCUGACUAAGAAGCACCGGCUAAAUACGUG
rnacentral:rRNA from 1 species